CUGGUAACAAUGGAAACCGAAGUUUUAUGUUUAUCUUCAGGCCAGGAUGGAUGGAGAUAGCAACAGUACAUGAUCUUCCAAAUUGACCUGCUAAUGACCUCAAUCCUGGCCUGGAGGGACUAGUAUCUCUUGGAGUGAGAGGAUAUGUAACUCUGAUGCCAACUCAAUUCUGGGACUCC
ensembl:misc_RNA